AACAAGUACUCCUUAUUACAGAUUUAUUAUCCUUAUGACAUCUGUCCGCAGAACAGGGGAAUAGGUCAAGAUAUGUCUUCCCAUCAACGUUUCUGUACACAUGUGCAAGUUUUCUGUUCAAGGGAGAAAGGAUGGAAGAGUUAAAGGUGAAUUCUUACAUAGGCACAAUGCAUGGGCACUGUGACCUACAACCCUCCUGCUGA
rnacentral:lncRNA from 1 species